rnacentral:rRNA from 1 species
AACGCGAAGAACCUUACCUGGUCUUGACAUCUACGGAGCCCUGCAGAGAUGCGGGGGUGCCUUCGGGAACCGUAAGACAGGUGCUGCAUGGCUGUCGUCAGCUCGUGUCGUGAGAUGUUGGGUUAAGUCCCGCAACGAGCGCAACCCUUGUCCUUAGUUGCCAGCAUUCAGUUGGGAACUCUAAGGAGACCGCCGGUGACAAACCGGAGGAAGGUGGGGAUGACGUCAAGUCAUCAUGGCCUUUAUGACCAGGGCUACACACGUGCUACAAUGGUAGAUACAGAGGGAAGCCAACGCGCGAGCGGGAGCCAAUCCCAGAAAAUCUAUCGUAGUCCGGAUCGGAGUCUGCAACUCGACUCCGUGAAGUCGGAAUCGCUAGUAAUCGCAGAUCAGCAUUGCUGCGGUGAAUACGUUCCCGGGCCUUGUA